UACGUAGGGUGCGAGCGUUGUCCGGAAUUAUUGGGCGUAAAGGGCUCGUAGGCGGUUUGUCGCGUCGGGGAGUGAAAACCCAGGGCUUAACCCUGGGCUGGACUUCCGAUACGGGCAGACUAGAGGUAUGCAGGGGAGAACGGAAUUCCUGGUGUAGCGGUGAAAUGCGCAGGAUAUCAGGAGGAACACCAAUUGCGAAGGCAGCUCGCUGGAACGUAACUGACGCUGAGACGCGAAAGCGUGGGGAGCAAACAGGAUAGAA
rnacentral:rRNA from 1 species